rnacentral:rRNA from 1 species
UACGGAGGGGGCGAGCGUUGUUCGGAAUUAUUGGGCGUAAAGGGCGCGUAGGCGGCUGAACAAGUCAAAGGUGAAAUCCCUCGGCUCAACUGAGGAACUGCCUUUGAAACUGUUCGGCUUGAGGCCGGGAGGGGGUAGCGGAAUUCCCAGUGUAGCGGUGAAAUGCGUAGAUAUUGGGAGGAACACCAGUGGCGAAGGCGGCUGCCUGGACAGGUUCUGACGCUGAGGCGCGAAAGCGUGGGUAGCAAACCGG